rnacentral:rRNA from 1 species
UGGGGAAUUUUGGACAAUGGGGGAAACCCUGAUCCAGCCAUCCCGCGUGUGCGAUGAAGGCCUUCGGGUUGUAAAGCACUUUUGGCAGGAAAGAAACGUCAUGGGUUAAUACCCCGUGAAACUGACGGUACCUGCAGAAUAAGCACCGGCUAACUACGUGCCAGCAGCCGCGGUAAUACGUAGGGUGCAAGCGUUAAUCGGAAUUACUGGGCGUAAAGCGUGCGCAGGCGGUUCGGAAAGAAAGAUGUGAAAUCCCAGAGCUCAACUUUGGAACUGCAUUUUUAACUACCGGGCUAGAGUGUGUCAGAGGGAGGUGGAAUUCCGCGUGUAGCAGUGAAAUGCGUAGAUAUGCGGAGGAACACCGAUGGCGAAGGCAGCCUACUGGGAUAACACUGACGCUCAUGCACGAAAGCGUGGGGAGCAAACAGG